AUUGAACGCUGGCGGCAGGCCUAACACAUGCAAGUCGAGCGAGCGGCGGACGGGUGAGUAAUGUAUGGGGACUGCCCGAUAGAGGGGGAUAACGACUGGAAACGGUAGCUAAUACCGCAUACUAUCGGAUAACCCAUAUGGGAUUAGCUAGUAGGUGAGGUAAUGGCUCACCUAGGCGACGGUCCCUAGCUGGUCUGAGAGGAUGAUCAGGCACACUGGUACUGAGACACGGUCCAGACUCCUACGGAGGCAGCAGUGGGGAAGAUUGCACAAUGGGCGCAAGCCUGAUGCAGCCAUGCUGCGUGUAUGAAGAAGGCCGUAGGGUUGUAAAGUACUUGCAGUGGGGAGGCGUUACCGACAGAAGAAGCACCGGCUAACUCCGUGCCAGCAGCCGCGGUAAUUC
rnacentral:rRNA from 1 species